CAGUCGAGCGGACAGAAGGGAGCUUGCUCCCGGAAGUCAGCGGCGGACGGGUGAGUAACACGUAGGUAACCUGCCCCUUAGACUGGGAUAACUCCGGGAAACCGGAGCUAAUACGGGAUAAUAAAGAGAAUCACCUGAUUCUCUUUUGAAAGACGGUUUCGGCUGUCACUAAGGGAUGGGCCUGCGGCGCAUUAGCUAGUUGGUAAGGUAACGGCUUACCAAGGCGACGAUGCGUAGCCGACCUGAGAGGGUGAUCGGCCACACUGGGACUGAGACACGGCCCAGACUCCUACGGGAGGCAGCAGUAGGGAAUCUUCCGCAAUGGACGAAAGUCUGACGGAGCAACGCCGCGUGAGUGAGGAAGGCCUUCGGGUCGUAAAGCUCUGUUGUGAGGGAAGAACAAGUACCGGCGUAACUACCGGUACCUUGACGGUACCUCACCAGAAAGCCACGGCUAACUACGUGCCAGCAGCCGCGGUAAUACGUAGGUGGCAAGCGUUGUCCGGAAUUAUUGGGCGUAAAGCGCGCGCAGGCGGCUUCUUAAGUCUGAUGUGAAAUCUCGGGGCUCAACCCCGAGCGGCCAUUGGAAACUGGGAAGCUUGAGUGCAGAAGAGGAGAGUGGAAUUCCACGUGUAGCGGUGAAAUGCGUAGAUAUGUGGAGGAACACCAGUGGCGAAGGCGACUCUCUGGUCUGUAACUGACGCUGAGGCGCGAAAGCGUGGGGAGCAAACAGGAUUAGAUACCCUGGUAGUCCACGCCGUAAACGAUGAGUGCUAGGUGUUAGGGGUUUCGAUGCCCGUAGUGCCGAAGUAAACACAU
rnacentral:rRNA from 2 species